GAUGAAGAACGUAGUGAAAUGCGAUACGUAAUGUGAAUUGCAGAAUUCAGUGAAUCAUCGAGUCUUUGAACGCACAUUGCGACCCCUGGUAUUCCGGGGGGCAUGCCUGUCCGAGCGUCAUUGCUGCCCUCAAGCACGGCUUGUGUGUUGGGCCUCCGUCCUCCUCCCGGGGGACGGGCCCGAAAGGCAGCGGCGGCACCGCGUCCGGUCCUCGAGCGUAUGGGGCUUCGUCACCCGCUCUUGUAGGCCCGGCCGGCGCUUGCCGACACAUCAAUCUUUUUUCCAGGUUGACCUCGGAUCAGGUAGGGAUACCCGCUGAACUUAAGCAUAUCAAUAAGCGGAGGA
rnacentral:misc_RNA from 1 species